UACGAAGGGGGCUAGCGUUGCUCGGAAUUACUGGGCGUAAAGGGCGCGUAGGCGGGUCGUUUAGUUAGAGGUGAAAGCCCAGGGCUCAACCCUGGAACUGCCUUUAAUACUGGCGGCCUAGAGUAUGACAGAGGUGUGUGGAACUCCGAGUGUAGAGGUGAAAUUCGUAGAUAUUCGGAAGAACACCAGUGGCGAAGGCGACACACUGGGUCAUUACUGACGCUGAGGCGCGAAAGCGUGGGGAGCAAACAGG
rnacentral:rRNA from 1 species